GAUUCUGAUGCUGGGAGAGAUUUGGGGCAGGAGGAGAAGGGGAUGACAGAGGAUGAGAUGGCUGGAUGGCAUCACUGACUCAAUGGACGUGAGUCUGGGUGAAGUCCAGGUGUUGGUGAUGGACAGGGAGGCCUGGCAUGCUGCAAUUCAUGAGGUCGCAAAGAGUCGGACACAACUGAGCAACUGAACUGAACUGAACUGUACAUAAUACUUCUGUUCAUGUAUAGUUUUAUGGUCAAAGAACAAAUUAAUUACAUGAACGAACUGGAUGACUUAACUCAGUUGUCCGAGACUGUUUCUGAGGAUGGUGAUGUGCUUUACUCUAUGAAUUCCACGUUGCAAGUAGAACCUCUCGAUGUGGGGUGUAAAGGUAGGACCGCAGUGUAAAUGUUAACAGAAAGCCUGUCUCUGUAUAGAGUAGUGAUAUAUGCACACCUUCUCAGUACUGCUUUAGAGUCAGGAAUAUGCUACAGUGCUGUGCAUCUCAUAAGUUUGAUUUGCAUUAAAAGGACAUGAAAGUCAGUGUAUACUCUGAGCCACAGGCCUACGAUACUCUCACUCACUGUACCUUCUGUUGACUCUUCUUCUUUCCUAUGCCUUCACCCAUGGUCAGGUCAGCAUCAUUUUCCUCCUAGAGUAACUGAAAUAAUCUCAGGACUUCUUUCCCUGCCACUCCACCUGGCAGAACCUUGGUCUGCACAGCAACUGUAAUUAUUGCCUAUUUUUAAACAUUCAGGUCUCAUCAUGCUACCCCCUUGCUUCAAGCCCAACUGUUGCCUCUCUUUGCUGUGUGGUUAAAGGUCACAAUUGUGUGGUUCCAUCUGGUUUUAGUUUUCACCCUUCUUUCUACAUGAAUUCUAGAAUCAGCUUGUAAGUUCCCUAAAAUAUCUGCUGGUCUUAACGUUUUCAUUUUCCUUCCAUUCAAAAUACUGUGUAUUUUCUCUUUUCAUUACCUCUUUGAUCCAAGGGUUAUUUAGAUCCAUGUGAUUUAGUUUCCAAAUAUUGAGAGUUUUCCAGAGAUCCUUCUGCGCUCUUGCUUCUCAUGAUUUGUUAGGUGCAUCCAGAGGGACCCUGGGGUUAGGGCUGAUUAUUUCCUGCCUUGGAGGCAAGACCUUGCUGACUACCCUGUUCAUUCUGCUGGUACCUAGGAGUUUUUCCAGCCUGGCUCAUGAGAAUAGAUAGAAUUCCUGGGACUGAGUGAGCAC
rnacentral:lncRNA from 1 species